rnacentral:tRNA from 1 species
GACCGCAUAGCUCGGUUGGAAGAGCAUUGGGCUAGUAUUCCAAAGGUCGUAGGUUCGAAUCCCACCGUGGCCG